GUUGGGCUUUGUCUGCGGCCCGUCAACCACAAGAUUCUACGGAAACCCUAAUCAGUCGAUAUGCUCUCCUUCGUGUUCUUCGUUUUCCUCGAUCGGCAGAGAGACGAUUCAGGUUCUGUAACGGUGAUUUGUGUUUUAUUCGUCUUAGAUCAUCAACAGAUCUAUUCGGUUUCAAUCAAAAACGCUGCAGCCUCAUUACUUUUUCCGUAUUAAAGUCGAGUAUGCAGUUUUUUUGUUUCUUUUUCAUGAUAUCGCCGCUCUCUGUACAGUGUUGUCAAUUUGAUAUUUUUCUGAUUAUCUGAUAAUGGUUUCUCUUGCUGAUUCCAGGCACUGAAAAAAGAAAAAUGGUGAAGGGACAGAGGAAAGCGGCGACAUGAGAGGAAAGGAAGGGGAUGAAGGCGGUGAAGGAUAAAGAGCAGAAUGGUGACUUGAAUGUCGGGCGUUCAAGCAACCUUUUGAUUACCAUGGUGUUCAGCAAUUGAAUUUUGUUUUCAUUAACGACAAUGAUUCUGAUGUUUUGGAGUUUCCAGUUACGCAGAAAAAAAAACUUCCAAGCAUGUGAUUGAAGAAACAACUCAAUUAUGUUCUUCACUGCAGAGUCUGAACCGUGGCAUUAGAAUCUUCUUAUGGAUGAGUAAAAAUCACACUUUUAAGCUAAGGAAGACAAAGGACUGGAAACAGCUAACAAAUGGCUCGACUACAAGCUUCAAGACACUGCUAACUUAGCCACAACGCCAAGUUGUUCAGUUCUGUCCAGUUGUCGAACAACCUCAGUGAUGUCGGGAUCCUCUGCCAUGUCGGGAUCAUCACACUUGAGCAGUAGAGGAGAGAUGUCUGCUAGAACCUGGAUGUUGAGUGAAGAUUUGAUUCUGAGCAAAUGAGAAUAGAUUCAUGGUGUUUGGUUAGUACCGAUGACUGGUAAGGAUUUGACAUUGACACAUUUUAGUUUCAAAGGAUUGACGAUAGUGGAGAGGGCACUUUCAUGUCAGCCCAUUACGAAGAUGGAAUUUGAGUUCGAGAGUAGAAAAGUUACUAAAGAGGAUAUAAUAGAGCUGAUAUCUAGGGAGAUAACUGACAUACAAUAACUUUGUGUGAUCAUUUUGUUUUUGUUAGGUUGAUGGUAUGGUAGGAAAGUUUACUAACAUAAACCAUGUGAUGAGAAAACAGGAACCACUUAGAGUGGACAUGAAGAAGUUGUUCCAGUUGGAGAUUGCCACUAAAGCAGCUCCAAAGGGAGAGUUUCUAAUUGUUUUUUUGUGUGUUUAAUAUAUAUUUUCCUAUGUCAAUUCGUAAGCAACUUUAUAGACGGAGUUUCAUAUACAAGUUUAAAAAUAUUGUAUUAUAUUAUUCUUUACAAAGGACUUUGUAAUAUAGAUUCUAUAGUUUUUCUGUGUAUAUACUUUUUAUAAUAAUUUUCCAUUAUUUUCUUAUUCAGUUAUUGAUGAAACGAGUUGUUUUGUCUAAUAUAUAUUCACACCAAACCCCUCUUCAAAUUUACCUUUUUCAAUUAUAUAUUUUUAAAUAGUAUAGAUAAAAAAAUAUACCAAAAAUACAAACAUAUGCAAAUAUGCUUUAAAAACAUCUUUACAAAUACAGUAUUACUCAGCAAUACGCUGCAGCAAAACUAUAUACAACUCACAUAUAGCUUGGUAAACAAAAAAUAAUCAAACGACCCCAAUAUAACAAAACCAAAAGAAAAGAAAAACAAAAUCCAUCAACAUAUAAUUGGCUACUAAAAAGCAUCACACACGGUUGUAAAGCCCAUAAGAAACAACCUUAACAAACGUAAUAGCCCAAUGAUAAUACAAGUUUUGAAACUGUUAAAUGUGUACUAGAGAUAAAAUAAAUACCCUUCUUUGUGAUAAGAGCUUCUAAAUGUUUGGUUUACAGUGUAUGACUGCAGUAACAGUUAAUCAGUUAUCAUUCAUUCUGAGAAGCUUGAAGAAGUUAACAAAGGUUUACAACUUUGUUACAUAUAUACAUAACGACUUCAACUUGGAAGGAAAAAGAUGGUUACUGCAGGCCCUUAACAAAUAACAUGUUUUUUACUCCUAUUAAAGGUUUAAGCCAAGUGUUUGAAGAAAGGAGCAAUACCAUACCAAGACCAUAGAUCGACUGGGGUAAUCCCAUAUUUUCUUCAAGGAUAAACGCUAAAUCUCUUGAUGGCAUUCUGGACAAAUUGAAGAUUAUGAGAAGAAAUCAAAGUGUGUGGAAUCAUCAGAGUCAAAUACUUAUGCAAUUUACAUGACAAGCAGAGCAAGGAAGAUGUGAGAAUCAGACAAAGAAAGACAUGAUCCAGCAAAAGGGGAUGUUUAUCAAAUGAACGUUCUAGAUGGAAAAAAAAUCAUUGGUAAAAUUGAAAAAUAUCAUGCAGAUGAAUC